AUGAAAAUAUCCUCCACCCCACCCCACCCCAAGUCCCAACCCCAGCCAGGCCCAACCCAAACUGAACUCUUCUCCCCCCGACCCAAACCCCAGCCCCGCCGCCGGCCAACUCCAGUCCCUUCGCCGCCGCCGCCGCCGCCGCGUAGACGCGAGGACGCACACGCAUCCGCUACCACCGCGGCCAUGGUCCUCUCCCACCGCCGCUUCCUCCUUCCACCCCGGCCUCUUUGCCAUCGGCGCCGUCGCACCACUGCCGGCCCCUGCUCGAGCUGGUCAGGCGGCGUGCAGAUCCGCCACUGCCACAGCGUCGUCGUCCUCCACAACCACGCAGCGGCUCCUCGCCCGCGACCCUCUUCUCCAGUUUGGGGGCAAGGAAGGAGAAGCCUUUCUCGCUCGAUCUGGCGAGGAUGGAUGCGCAGCAAGGUCAGGUCGCCACCAUCUCUCCCCCUCCUUUCGUUUUCUCGGUUUUGGUUUCGAUUUGCUUCUCUUCCCUUCCCUUCCCUGACGCGGUUCGUUUCCUCACUGCACAGGUGCACCACCGUGAUGAUGGGGAUUCAUUCUUGCUGCCACGAUUCGUCUCGUCGUCCUCCCCGGCAUUCGCAUAGUGAGGAAGCACUCAGUACAGUUGAUUGGGUUUGCGAUGUGCAGGUCAGGCUCGUGGGGACGGUGAGUGGCAAGGCGGGGAGGAACACGGAUAUGUCACUUCAUCAGAUGGUUGAUAGCCCUCUCUGGUUAAUUAGCCAUUUGAGAGGCAGCAGGAGCAUAACAGGAUACUUUUGGCUCUUAUCACGCUGCAAACGAUUUAAUAAUGGGAGAUCUGCAGUUACUUUACCAUUUCCGACUAAUCAGCCAUUUGAAAGGCACACUAUAAUACUGUACUAUUCGGAUUUGCCUUGGGUCAGAAGAUGCUUGUUACCUCAUGUUGACAAGUGCUCUGGUUCAUCAGCCCAUCUACUAGUGCUAGAUAUUGGGGAGGGUUACCUGCCGUUGGGAGGAGAGGCUGCUGCCUGCUGGUACUGUGGGGUAGCAGUCGCCGGUCGAGUGCAGGUGUCGCCGCCGGUGGCAGCGUUGAGUCCAGGCGGCGGUGGCUUCGAUCCAGGAGGAGGCGGCUUCGAUCCAGGAGAGGCUGCGACCUGGGAGCACAUCGCUUUUGUGUGGAAGAGAUGCAUGCGACUACAUAGGGUUUCGUUUUGGGCCUGUUAUUGGGCCAGGCCGUGUCCCAACCGUGUCACGGAUGUAGGAGGUACAACGGCCAGCGACCGGGACGACACCAACAGCCAAAGGAAGCUUGAGGUCUGCUCCUUCUCCACCAGUAGAGAGGAGCCUCCUUUUUGGGUUCCGCGUGUCUGCUCCGAGCCUACCAGCGCCGAUGCCAUGGAAGCCUGUCUUCCGGCUCUCAGUGAUUUGCUCCUCGAGGUGUAUGCCGUGCUGCACCUGAAUCCUGUUGACUACGAGCAGCGGAACGCCUUGUUUGAUGUAUUCAGCAACAUGGCAACUAAAAUCUUUGCAUCUACACGAUACUUUUGUGGAAGGUGGACUGUCGCUGUCAGAAAUCAGAAAUACUAUUUUCUUGGCUUUGGUCUUUUGGACAGUUGA
rnacentral:rRNA from 1 species